rnacentral:misc_RNA from 1 species
GUGAAACAUAGAGUGCUCUUUGUUGAGGCUCGUUUUAACUAUCCAAUACACUUUGUGCAUUUGAAAACAUUUAACCCUCUGGGCUUCGGUCCUUGGGUUUUAUUACAACCCCUUUGCUUUAAUUGAGAUGAUGAUGUUAUAAAAUUGAAAUUGAAAGU